UACGUAGGGUGCGAGCGUUAAUCGGAAUUACUGGGCGUAAAGCGUGCGCAGGCGGUGCUGUAAGACCGAUGUGAAAUCCCCGGGCUUAACCUGGGAACUGCAUUGGUGACUGCAUUGCUGGAGUAUGGCAGAGGGGGGUGGAAUUCCACGUGUAGCAGUGAAAUGCGUAGAGAUGUGGAGGAACACCGAUGGCGAAGGCAGCCCCCUGGGCCAAUACUGACGCUCAUGCACGAAAGCGUGGGGAGCGAACCGG
rnacentral:rRNA from 1 species